rnacentral:tRNA from 1 species
GCCGGUGUGGCGGAAUUGGCAGACGCGCACGACUCAAAAUCGUGUAAGCGCAAGCUUGUGUCGGUUCGACCCCGACCACCGGCA